rnacentral:rRNA from 3 species
AAUGUAUUUAGUGCAUAAAUGAUUUGUUAAUAUAAAAGGUGAAAUUAGGCUAUUUUAUACAAAUUUUUAGAUGUACUAUAAUUGAAGCUAAAAAGUCUUGGGCAUAAACUAGGAUUAGAUACCCUAUUAUACUAAGGUUAUAUAUGGAAUACUGGAAUAUUAAUAGUUAUKUUCUUUAAAUUUAAAGAAGUUGGCGGUAAUUUAGUCUUUUUAGAGGAAUCUGUUCUUAGUCGAUAAACCACGAAGGAUCUUACUUGAGUAUUUAAAGCUUGUAUACCGUCAUUAUUAGAUGAUUUUGAUAAAAUUAAUUGUUGAUUUUAAUUUCUUGAUUAAAAAAAUUAGAUCAAGGUGCAGCAAUAAGCAAGUAAAAAUGGAUUACAAUAAAUAUUUAUUUAUAUGGAUUAAUUUAUGUAAAGGAGUUAUGAAAGAGGAUUUAAUUGUAUUACGGGUUUAAUAAGACUGUAAGAU